CAGCCAGACAAGUGGAUCUGCGUUCCUGAAAAUGUUUCUGCAGAAAUUUUAAAAAGCUGGUAAUAGUAGAGCCAUGUUGGGAGCCUCAAGGACACUGAGUUGUUAAGGUCUCUAAAAAUGGUUGUACCA
ensembl:snoRNA